rnacentral:rRNA from 1 species
UCCGUAGGGGGCGAGCGUUGUCCGGAUUUAUUGGGCGUAAAGAGCUCGUAGGCGGUUUGGUAAGUCGGAUGUGAAAUCUCCAGGCUCAACCUGGAGGGGUCAUUCGAGACUGCUAUGACUAGAGUUCGGUAGAGGAGUGUGGAAUUCCUGGUGGAGCGGUGAAAUGCGCAGAUAUCAGGAGGAACACCCGUAGCGAAGGCGGCACUCUGGGCCGAUACUGACGCUGAGGAGCGAAAGCGUGGGGAGCGAACAGG